rnacentral:rRNA from 1 species
UACGAAGGGGGCUAGCGUUGUUCGGAAUUAUUGGGCGUAAAGAGCUCGUAGGUGGCUUGUCACGUCGGGUGUGAAAGCUUGGGGCUUAACUCCAGGUCUGCAUUCGAUACGGGCUGGCUAGAGGUAGGUAGGGGAGAACGGAAUUCCUGGUGUAGCGGUGAAAUGCGCAGAUAUCAGGAGGAACACCGGUGGCGAAGGCGGUUCUCUGGGCCUUACCUGACGCUGAGGAGCGAAAGCGUGGGGAGCGAACAGG